UGAUAUAGAGCAAAACCCUAAAAGCAACCUCAGUUCGGAUUGAAGGCUGAAAUUCGCCUUCAUGAAGCUGGAAUUGCUAGUAAUGGCAGGUCAGCAUACUGCCGUGAAUACGUUCCCGGGCCUUGUACACACCGCCCGUCAAACCAUGAGAGUUGGCAACACCCGAAGUCGGUAGUCUAACCGCAAGGAGGACGCCGCCGAAGGUGGGGUUGAUGAUUAGGGUUAAGUCGUAACAAGGUACC
rnacentral:rRNA from 1 species